UGGUUCUGGCAUCGAUGAAGAACGCAGCGAAAUGCGAUAAGUAAUGUGAAUUGCAGAAUUCAGUGAAUCAUCGAAUCUUUGAACGCACAUUGCGCCCCUUGGUAUUCCGAGGGGCAUGCCCGUUCGAGCGUCAUUUCACCACUCAAGCUCUGCUUGGUAUUGGGCGUCGCGUCCGCCGCGCGCCUCGAAGUCCCCGGCCCCGCGGCCCGGCCCUGAGCGUUGUGGCACUUUUCAGUUCCGCUCCAGGCGCCCGGGCGGCGGCCGGCCGUUAAGCACCUCAAAUGGUUGACCUCGGAUCGGGUAGGGAUACCCGCUGA
rnacentral:misc_RNA from 1 species